rnacentral:tRNA from 1 species
GCCCAUUUGGCUCAGUGGAUAGAGUGUCAGCCUGCAGACUGAAGGGUCCUAGGUUCGAUUCCAGUUAAGGGCA